AUACGGAGGGUGCAAGCGUUAUUCGGAAUUACUGGGCGUAAAGCGCGCGUAGGCGGAUGAUUAAGUCAGUUGUGAAAGCCCUGGGCUCAACCUAGGAACUGCAUCUGAUACUGGUCGUCUAGAGUUUAAGAGAGGGAAGUGGAAUUCCAGGUGUAGCAGUGAAAUGCGUAGAUAUCUGGAGGAACAUCAGUGGCGAAGGCGGCUCACUGGGCCAUUACUGACGCUGAGGUGCGAAAGCGUGGGUAGCAAACAGGAGUAGAAACCCCAGUAGUCC
rnacentral:rRNA from 1 species